rnacentral:rRNA from 1 species
UGCAGUCGAGCGGUAACAGAUCCAGCUUGCUGGAUGCUGACGAGCGGCGGACGGGUGAGUAAUGCAUAGGAAUCUGCCCGAUAGUGGGGGAUAACCUGGGGAAACCCAGGCUAAUACCGCAUACGUCCUACGGGAGAAAGGGGGCUCCGGCUCCCGCUAUGGGAUGAGCCUAUGUCGGAUUAGCUAGUUGGUGAGGUAACGGCUCACCAAGGCCACGAUCCGUAGCUGGUCUGAGAGGAUGAUCAGCCACAUCGGGACUGAGACACGGCCCGAACUCCUAC